rnacentral:lncRNA from 1 species
UGCCCACUUAUUUAUAAUCAGGAAAGAAAGCAGUAAACUUUUUAAGAAAAGAAUAUAGAGUUUCCGGAGAUUGAGCUGAGAAGUCCACGGACCUGAGAGACAUGAGGGGGACCCGGUCUGCCCAAGUUCAGGGGCUCCUCUUUGGUGGCCUGACAGAGGGGUCACCUCUCCGGCCACACUCGGUGGGAUUCUAACCCUGGGAAGGCGAGAAGAGCCCCAAAGUUGAGAUGGGGUGACCAGCUCGGACAGAAGCAGGCAGGCCCCCCUCCUGCCUCUUGGGUGGCCAAGUACGAGCAAAUGGAUGCCCAGCGUCAGAAACAAAGUCUGCAACGAGCACCAUCCUUUGUAGAGAGAAAGACUCCCUGAGUCCCUCCGCCUUCCCCGUCCAGCACAAAUCUGUCCUCCUACACUCUGCCUUUAAUUAAAGGGAAGCAGAGACCAGCAGUCCCUGUUACAAACCGGACGGGACUUGAGGGGUAUUCUUCAAAAGCUGCUCAGCCUCCCCCCAUUCCACAUAACCAAUCUCUGCUCCUGUAAGCCAAAUGUCUCAAGUUCAAAUGCCUACAGGGGCCAGGCACGCAGCAAAUGAAUGAAGAGUUCCAAGUCAAAGACAAUAGGGAGUGGUGGGGACUGGGGUCAUCUGAAGAUUUCAUGCCCCACCUGGAGGGAACGCUUUUACUCAGCUCCAGGCAAUUGUUGCCAUACAUGAACAAGGGCCUGCUGCCACCAGGUUUUUCUUUUUUCUUUCUUUCUUUUUUUUUUUUUUUUCAAGAAAAUCUGGAAGUCUAGACUUUUGACAGCAUUUCCUGGCAAUGUGUGGGGUUUUUUUCUUUUCAACAUUGUGCAGGUUAAUGAGUUGCUAGGAGUUUCUGCCCUGUUCUCAGCCUUCUUUUGGGAGACCACAUGCUGGGCAGUUCUGUUCUCCUCUGGCUUUGCAGCUCCCAGCUGGACCCUGGGCCAUGUCAGAGGGGGAGGCCACUUGGAGUGUAGCAGGGUGUGGGCUAACCAUCUCCCUUUGGAUUCUAGGUUCCUGGGCCUCCAGGGCCAGAGGGGCCCCCCGGACCUCCGGGGCUCCAAGGUGUUCCUGGACCAAAGGUAAGAAGACGUCAUGUGACAGGUGUGGGGGGUGGGGGAAGGGGCAGUGUCAGGGCCAAAAAGGAAAGUCCUUUGGAGACAGGUGGCCCAUCUGGUCCCUUUCCCUAAAUGGAAUCAUGUGACACUGGCCAGUGGCUACAACCAAGAGAGAAUGAAGUCCUUUUAACACCCACCAUUGACUGUAGGCAGUCUUCAGAUUUAGAGCUGUCCCGUCCAUUAAUCCACCCCACUAGCGAUGGAUUGGAUUCUUAGCAAACGACGAAAUCCUUUUCCAAGUAACCUGCCCCAGACAUUUCACUCACCCUGAAGUAGAGGUGGAGAGAGAGAGGGGUGUACUGUGGGCCCCCUCCCCAGGUCCAGGCCCAUCAGUCUCUGGCCUGG